GAUGAACGCUGGCGGCGUGCCUAAUACAUGCAAGUCGAGCGAACGGACGAGAAGCUUGCUUCUCUGAUGUUAGCGGCGGACGGGUGAGUAACACGUGGAUAACCUACCUAUAAGACUGGGAUAACUUCGGGAAACCGGAGCUAAUACCGGAUGAUAUUUUGAACCGCAUGGUUCAAAAGUGAAAGACGGUCUUGCUGUCACUUAUAGAUGGAUCCGCGCUGCAUUAGCUAGUUGGUAAGGUAACGGCUUACCAAGGCAACGAUGCAUAGCCGACCUGAGAGGGUGAUCGGCCACACUGGAACGGAGACACGGUCCAGACUCCUACGGGAGGCAGCAGUAGGGAAUCUUCCGCAAUGGGCGAAAGCCUGACGGAGCAACGCCGCGUGAGUGAUGAAGGUCUUCGGAUCGGAAAACUCUAUUAUUAGGGAAGAACAUAUGUGUAAGUAACUGUGCACAUCUUGACGGUACCUAAUCAGAAAGCCACGGCUAACUACGUG
rnacentral:rRNA from 1 species